rnacentral:rRNA from 1 species
UCGAGGAUCUUUUGCAAUGGGCGAAAGCCUGACAAAGCGACGCCGUGUGAACGAAGAAGGCCUUCGGGUUGUAAAGUUCUUUCGCAUGGGAACAAGAAAAGUGUACUAAUAGUAUAUUGAUUUGAGAGUACCGUGUAAAGAAGCACCGGCUAACUCCGUGCCAGCAGCUGCGGUAAUACGGAGGGUGCAAGCAUUAAUCGGAAUAACUGGGCGUAAAGGGCGCGUAGGCGUUUAAGAAAGUUGCGUGUGAAAUUUCAUAGCUUAACUAUGGAGCGGCACGCAAAACUACUUGAAUCGAGGAUAAGUGAGGAAAAGGGAAUUCCACGUGUAGCGGUGAAAUGCGUAGAUAUGUGGAGGAACACCAGAGGCGAAGGCGCUUUUCUAACUUAUUCCUGACGCUGAGGCGCGAAAGCAAGGGGAGCAAACAGG